rnacentral:rRNA from 1 species
CAGCCGCCGCGGGAAUACAGAGGGUGCGAGCGUUAAUCGGAUUUACUGGGCGUAAAGCGUGCGUAGGCGGCUAAUUGAGUCGGAUGUGAAAUCCCCGAGCUUAACUUGGGAAUUGCAUUCGAUACUGGUUAGCUAGAGUGUGGGAGAGGAUGGUAGAAUUCCAGGUGUAGCGGUGAAAUGCGUAGAGAUCUGGAGGAAUACCGAUGGCGAAGGCAGUCAUCUGGCCUAACACUGACGCUGAGGUACGAAAGCAUGGGGAGCAAACAGGAUUAGAUACCCCAGUAGUCCCUGUCUCUUAUAC